UACGGAGGAUCCAAGCGUUAUCCGGAUUUAUUGGGUUUAAAGGGUGCGUAGGCGGCCUGUUAAGUCAGGGGUGAAAGACGGUAGCUCAACUAUCGCAGUGCCCUUGAUACUGAUGGGCUUGAAUGUACUUGAGGUAGGCGGAAUGUGACAAGUAGCGGUGAAAUGCAUAGAUAUGUCACAGAACACCAAUUGCGAAGGCAGCUUACUAAAGUAUGAUUGACGCUGAGGCACGAAAGCGUGGGGAUCAAACAGG
rnacentral:rRNA from 1 species